GCGUGCCUAAUACAUGCAAGUCGAGCGAACCGACGGGAGCUUGCUCCCUUAGGUUAGCGGCGGACGGGUGAGUAACACGUGGGUAACCUGCCUGUAAGACUGGGAUAACUCCGGGAAACCGGGGCUAAUACCGGAUGCUUGAUUGAACCGCAUGGUUCAAUUAUAAAAGGUGGCUUUUAGCUACCACUUACAGAUGGACCCGCGGCGCAUUAGCUAGUUGGUGAGGUAACGGCUCACCAAGGCGACGAUGCGUAGCCGACCUGAGAGGGUGAUCGGCCACACUGGGACUGAGACACGGCCCAGACUCCUACGGGAGGCAGCAGUAGGGAAUCUUCCGCAAUGGACGAAAGUCUGACGGAGCAACGCCGCGUGAGUGAUGAAGGUUUUCGGAUCGUAAAACUCUGUUGUUAGGGAAGAACAAGUACCGUUCGAACAGGGCGGUACCUUGACGGUACCUAACCAGAAAGCCACGGCUAACUACGUGCCAGCAGCCGCGGUAAUACGUAGGUGGCAAGCGUUGUCCGGAAUUAUUGGGCGUAAAGCGCGCGCAGGCGGUUUCUUAAGUCUGAUGUGAAAGCCCCCGGCUCAACCGGGGAGGGUCAUUGGAAACUGGGGAACUUGAGUGCAGAAGAGGAGAGUGGAAUUCCACGUGUAGCGGUGAAAUGCGUAGAGAUGUGGAGGAACACCAGUGGCGAAGGCGACUCUCUGGUCUGUAACUGACGCUGAGGCGCGAAAGCGUGGGGAGCGAACAGGAUUAGAUACCCUGGUAGUCCACGCCGUAAACGAUGAGUGCUAAGUGUUAGAGGGUUUCCGCCCUUUAGUGCUGCAGCAAACGCAUUAAGCACUCCGCCUGGGGAGUACGGUCGCAAGACUGAAACUCAAAGGAAUUGACGGGGGCCCGCACAAGCGGUGGAGCAUGUGGUUUAAUUCGAAGCAACGCGAAGAACCUUACCAGGUCUUGACAUCCUCUGACACCCCUAGAGAUAGGGCUUCCCCUUCGGGGGCAGAGUGACAGGUGGUGCAUGGUUGUCGUCAGCUCGUGUCGUGAGAUGUUGGGUUAAGUCCCGCAACGAGCGCAACCCUUGAUCUUAGUUGCCAGCAUUCAGUUGGGCACUCUAAGGUGACUGCCGGUGACAAACCGGAGGAAGGUGGGGAUGACGUCAAAUCAUCAUGCCCCUUAU
rnacentral:rRNA from 1 species